rnacentral:rRNA from 1 species
UCUACGAAGUAAGUACGGCGGACGGGUGAGUAACACGUGGGUAACCUGCCCAUAAGACUGGGAUAACUCCGGGAAACCGGGGCUAAUACCGGAUAACAUUUUUGAACUGCAUGGUUCGAAAUUGAAAGGCGGCUUCGGCUGUCGCUUAUGGAUGGACCCGCGGCGUAUUAGUUAGUUGGUGAGGUAACGGCUCACCAAGACGAUGAUACGUAGCCGACCUGAGAGGGUGAUCGGCCACAUUGGGACUGAGACACGGCCCAAACUCCUACGGGAGGCAGCAGUAGGGAAUCUUCCGCAAUGGACGAAAGUCUGACGGAGCAACGCCGCGUGAGUGAAAGAAGGUUUUCGGAUCGUAAAACUCUGUUGUCAGAGAAGAACAAGUUGGAGAGUAACUGCUCCAGCCUUGACGGUAUCUGACCAGAAAGCCACGGCUAACUACGUGCCAGCCGCCGC